GAUAUCGAAUAGCUGCACAAAUGUUUCCUUCUUUUGAAAAGGUUCUCGUCAGCAUCUGAGCUUUUUCUGGAAUUGCACAAUAGCAUUCUUCCUUUGCUACAGGAUUCUAUUAGUCAGCAUUAUGGUGGGGUAUUACGUCUCUAGCAUGAAAUUCAGCUCGUACAGACCAUAUAGUGAUAGGAAGGAUGGAGAUGGGCACUGGACGGCUGGAGCAUCAAUGGUAAAUGGUGUUAGUUCGAAAUCUGACACCGUCAUGUUCUGUACCCAAGAGUGUAAUUGGCUCUUCUAGUCAGUGUUUUGAAUGCCAGUGCUGUGGGUUCGUCAUGGACAAAAGGAAAUCGUGUACGCCUGUAAAUAUUACUUCUACACGAUUGACACCAUGAGCCCUCAUUUUG